rnacentral:rRNA from 1 species
UCACGACUCUCGGCAACGGAUAUCUCGGCUCUCGCCACGAUGAAGAACGUAGCGAAAUGCGAUACUUAGUGUGAAUUGCAGAAUCCCGUGAAUCAUCGAGUCUUUGAACGCAAGUUGCGCCCGAGGCCUCGGCCGAGGGCACGUCUGCAUGGGCGUCGCAC